GCCCCUCACCGUGCUCUGCUCUGCGGGGUCCCGCACCCUUCCCAGCAGUUCCCAGGUUCGGUCGCCCUGCCCCCAGGAUCGUCCCCUCUACUCUCCCCUCCUCUGGCCCCGCUCCUCCCCCUCGCGUUCACAGGGCAGAGGCAGCACCAGCUGUGUGUGUCCGGCAGGCUUCUGCAUUGAGGCCGGGCAGGGUGGUUGCGGGUCCUAAUUGCAGUGCCACAGCUGCUCCGGCUUGGAGGACUGAUUUGUAAGGUGGAGGCUGCGGCAGGGGCGGAUUUCAUACCAAGUGCCACUGUGAAAUACCAAUCAGACUUUACAAUGACAACCUAUUUGGAAUUCAUCCAACAAAAUGAAGAACAAGAUGGAAUCCAAUUUAGUUGGAAUGUUUGGCCAUCAAGUCGACUAGAAGCUAUAAGAAUGGUGGUUCCAGUAGCAGCCCUAUUCACACCAGAUUUGCCAACUCUUCAGUAAGAACCUGUUGUGUGGAGUAGGACCACUUGCCGUGCAGUUUUUAAUCCUUUGUGUCAAGUGGAUUAUCAAGCAAAAUUCUGGGCUUGCAACUUUUGUUAUCAAAGGAAUCAGGUAAGAAAACCCCCAUUGCUGAUGUUAAUGCUAUAAUACUGUUCUAACUAUGCAGAAAAAUGCACAUAU